UGGGGAAUAUUGCACAAUGGAGGAAACUCUGAUGCAGCGACGCCGCGUGAGUGAUGAAGUAUUUCGGUAUGUAAAGCUCUAUCAGCAGGGAAGAAGACGACGGUACCUGACUAAGAAGCCCCGGCUAACUACGUGCCAGCAGCCGCGGUAAUACGUAGGGGGCAAGCGUUAUCCGGAUUUACUGGGUGUAAAGGGAGCGUAGACGGUAGUGCAAGUCUGAAGUGAAAAUCCGCGGCUCAACUGCGGAAUUGCUUUGGAAACUGUAUAACUAGAGUACCGGAGGGGUAAGCGGAAUUCCUGGUGUAGCGGUGAAAUGCGUAGAUAUCAGGAGGAACACCGGUGGCGAAGGCGGCUUACUGGACGGCAACUGACGUUGAGGCUCGAAAGCGUGGGGAGCAAACAGG
rnacentral:rRNA from 1 species